GCUCCCAACAGGAAGACUUGAAGACAGAGUGGUAAGACAAGCCUGCUAAAGGUUCCCUACGCUGGUGCAGGAAUUUCCUGGAAACAAUUUCUUUUCAGUACCCUCGAGGUGGCCUGCUGCAGAACUCAAUCACCGUGCUGGAUUCAAGGAAGUAAAGGAUGACGUCCUCCUGCUUUUUUUUCCCGAGGGAUUUCCUCUGCUUUACCUCCCUGUGAGCCCCAUUGUACACCAUAUACUCAUGCUUAGCCAAAUGAAGCUCACCAAUGUGGUUUCAGGAGGGCGAAAGACAGGCUGUUUAUCUGAAAAACAUCUUCUAAGCAAAAAGACAGAGGAAUUUUGGUUUCUCCAUCCCCAGGGCAAUAAGAAAAAAGAGGUUUUGUACCCAUAAAAUGGUUUUGUUCCCAUAAAACUGAGCAAAAGCUUCGGUCUUGCCUGGACAAGAGAGAAUUCCUACUCCUUGAGUCUCAGUUCCUCCUGGAGUUUCCCUGGCCUGUUCUUCAAGGCCAACUGCAAAAUCCUUCUCCUCGCCUGGCCCAGGAGACUGAGGCUGAACUGAACCUCCCAUUCAGUGCCUCUCUCUCUUUGGAAAUCUCUGCGAUACUUCAGCCAAAGCAGCAUUUGUCUCACUAACGGCGUGCCUGGACCGGAGCCGCAUUAAUGCGCUGCAGCUUUCAGUAGAUGCGGGAGUGGUGUGGUUGUUGUCUGUUUUCCGGGCAAAAGGGGAUUCAAGAUUGUUAUCCCCCAAGUCUCAAGGGUUCCCACAGCGUUUUAAAUGUGGGGUGGCUGGCAGCCUUGCAGACAAAUAAACAAAUUUUAAUCUUCCUUGAAAGGCCAAACUUCCCAGCUUGUGUUGCUUUCUUCUUUGUUAUCUGUUUCUGUCUAUGUUUAAUAGCAAAGGGAAAACAAAGAGAUGGAGUAAACUGGUGAUUUGGAGAUUAGGAUGUUUUUAUUGUCUUCAGCUUAGGCCAGCUGAAGACACCGAUGCUGGAGCAGGAAAAACCUUUAAGGAAUACCCUCGGAUUUGCAAAACAAAUGUGUCAAGCGAAAUCCAGAUUUUUUUUUUGCUCAGGGUCUGACAUCGUGAUGUGUAGGGAACGGCGAUCGGAAGAUCUCGCGAUGGCACGGAAAGAGGAAGGAAGAGGAAGGAUAUGACGUAGAGAUAGCAGUGUGCUUGUAGGUAUAUAAGCAAAUACAUGCGUACAAUAAACGCCAUUUGCAGCAUCCUCA